rnacentral:rRNA from 1 species
GACGAACGCUGGCGGCGUGCCUAAUACAUGCAAGUUGAGCGAUGAGGAUUGGUGCUUGCACCACUUUGAAGAGCAGCGAACGGGUGAGUAACGCGUGGGGAAUCUACCUAUAAGCGGGGGACAACAUUUGGAAACGAAUGCUAAUACCGCAUAACAACUUUAACCAUAAGUUUUAAGUUUGAAAGAUGCAAUUGCAUCACUCAAAGAUGAUCCCGCGUUGUAUUAGCUAGUUGGUGAGGUAAAGGCUCACCAAGGCGAUGAUACAUAGCCCACCUGAGAGGGGGAUCGGCCACAUUGGGACUGGGACAAGGCCCAAACUCCUACGGGGGGCAGCAGUAAGGAAUCUUCCGGAAUGGGCGAAAGUCUGACCGAGCAACGCCGCGGGAGUGAAGAAGGUUUUCGGAUCGUAAAACUCUGUUGGUAGAGGAGAACGAUGUUGGUAGGUGACAGCUCACAAAGUGGCGGUAACUAAUCAGAAAGGGACGGCUAACUACGUG